GGGAGACGCGGUGGCCUAAUGAUUAGCGCGUUGGACUCCGGAUCGAGCGGUGCGGGUUCGAACCCCCCCCCCCCCC